rnacentral:rRNA from 1 species
UAGGGAAUCUUCCACAAUGGACGCAAGUCUGAUGGAGCAACGCCGCGUGAGUGAAGAAGGUUUUCGGAUCGUAAAGCUCUGUUGUUGGUGAAGAAGGAUAGAGGCAGUAACUGGUCUUUAUUUGACGGUAAUCAACCAGAAAGUCACGGCUAACUACGUGCCAGCAGCCGCGGUAAUACGUAGGUGGCAAGCGUUGUCCGGAUUUAUUGGGCGUAAAGCGAGCGCAGGCGGAAUGAUAAGUCUGAUGUGAAAGCCCACGGCUCAACCGUGGAACUGCAUCGGAAACUGUCAUUCUUGAGUCCAGAAGAGGAGAGUGGAAUUCCAUGUGUAGCGGUGGAAUGCGUAGAUAUAUGGAAGAACACCAGUGGCGAAGGCGGCUCUCUGGUCUGCAACUGACGCUGAGGCUCGAAAGCAUGGGUAGCGAACAGG